GGUUCGGGUGGGGCGGGGUGGGGGGCGGUAGGAUCGGGACACGCUUUGCCUGGCACGGUCAGUCCAG
rnacentral:miRNA from 1 species